GACGAACGCUGGCGGCGUGCUUAACACAUGCAAGUCGAACGGAAAGGCCCUGCUUUUGUGGGGUGCUCGAGUGGCGAACGGGUGAGUAACACGUGAGUAACCUGCCCUUGACUUUGGGAUAACUUCAGGAAACUGGGGCUAAUACCGGAUAGGAGCUCCUGCUGCAUGGUGGGGGUUGGAAAGUUUCGGCGGUUGGGGAUGGACUCGCGGCUUAUCAGCUUGUUGGUGGGGUAGUGGCUUACCAAGGCUUUGACGGGUAGCCGGCCUGAGAGGGUGACCGGCCACAUUGGGACUGAGAUACGGCCCAGACUCCUACGGGAGGCAACAGUGGGGAAUAUUGCACAAUGGGCGGAAGCCUGAUGCAGCAACGCCGCGUGCGGGAUGACGGCCUUCGGGUAGUAAACCGCUUUCGCCUGUGACGAAGCGUGAGUGACGGUAAUGGGUAAAGAAGCACCGGCUAACUACGUG
rnacentral:rRNA from 1 species